rnacentral:SRP_RNA from 1 species
GCUGGGCGUGGUGGCACACGCCUGUAGUCCCAGCUACUCGGGAGGCUGAGGCAGGGGAAUGGCUUGAACUCAGGAGGUGGAGGUUGCAGUGAGCCGAGAUUAUGCCACUGCACUCCAGCCUGAGUGACAGAGUGAGACUCUGUCUCAA